rnacentral:sRNA from 1 species
GCGCCGGGGCCCGAGGCCGCUGAGUGCCUGGUGUGCUCCGAGUUGGCGCUGCUGGUGCUGUUCUCGCCGUGCCAGCACCGCACCGUGUGUGAAGGUGAGUGGGGGGCCCCGGGGUGGGGGGCCCGGGUAGUACGGCCCCAGCCAACCGCGUACUCCUCUCCGCAGAGUGCGCGCGCAGGAUGAAGAAGUGCAUCAGGUGCCAGGUGGUCGUCAGCAAGAAACUGCGCGCAGACGGCUCUGAGGUGGCGAGCGCCGCCCCCGCCCCCGGCCCGCCGCGCCAGCUGGUGGAGGAGCUGCAGAGCCGCUACCGGCAGAUGGAGGAGCGUAUCACCUGCCCCAUCUGCAUCGACAGCCACAUCCGCCUCGUGUUCCAGUGCGGCCACGGCGCAUGCGCCCCCUGCGGCUCCGCGCUCAGCGCCUGCCCCAUCUGCCGCCAGCCCAUCCGCGACCGCAUCCAGAUCUUCGUGUGAGCCGCGCCGUCCGCCACGCCCGAGCUGCCUUCGCGUGCCCCCGCCCUGUGUUUUAUAAAAAGAUUCUCGGA